UGCACUCUUUAAUGACAACUUGGGAACUACAACCAUGAUACAUUAUUCAGACACCAAAGACGUGUGCCAAAAAGGGAUUGUCCCGGUUACCCGCAAAUGACAUAAAUGAAAGCGAGAACCACAUGGUUGGGGUUUAAUUAGAUACAAAACAUUCAUUCGUCCGAGUCCUCGCUUGAUGGAUCCAUAUUUUCUCAGUCGUAGUGUUGGAGAGCAAUCUCAUAUUCGAUAAUUUCCUCUCUCAUCUUUCAGAUGGCCUCUUCCUGCUCCGAGAUCUGUAUCUUAAUGGCAUCACAUACCUCGAUUGCACCUAGCUGGGCAUUCUUUUUCCGACACCACAUAAAAUGGUCACACCAAUGCGGGUGAUCAUUACAUGCAAGGAAAACCGGGCUUUAAAUGGCUCAGGCGGGUUUCUCUUAGAAUGGAAUUUCGCAUCAGGAUUGAGCCUCAGGACUGCAGUACGGCCACAUACGCAUCAGGAUUGUACGUAGAGUACUCAUUGAGGUGUUGAGGUAAUUUCUA
rnacentral:lncRNA from 1 species